GGUGAUGGCGUGCCUUUUGUAGAAUGAGCCGGCGAGUUAUGAUAUGCAGCGAGGUUAAGCAGGAGAUGCGGAGCCGAAGCGAAAGCGAGUCUGAAUAGGGCGAGAGUUGUAUGUCAUAGACCCGAAACCGAGUGAUCUAGCCAUGAUCAGGUUGAAGUUGGGGUAAAACCCGAUGGAGGACCGAACCGACCCCCGUUGAAACGUUGGCGGAUGAAUUGUGGCUAGGGGUGAAAUUCCAAACGAACUCGGAGAUAGCUGGUUCUCCCCGAAAUAGCUUUAGGGCUAGCGUCAGAGUGAAAGUUAUGUGAAGGUAGAGCACUGAAUAUGUGAUGGCCUCAUCCCGAGGUACUGAAUAUAAUCAAACUCCGAAUGUCACAGGAACAUAUCUGGCAGUCAGACUGCGGGUGAUAAGGUCCGUAGUCAAAAGGGAAACAGCCCAGACCAUCAGCUAAGGUCCCAAAAUAUAUGCUAAGUGGAAAAGGAUGUGGAGAUGUCCAGACAACCAGGAGGUUGGCUCAGAAGCAGCCACCCUUUAAAGAGUGCGUAACAGCUCACUGGUCGAAUGACUCUGCGCCGAAAAUUUACCGGGGCUAAGCAUAAUACCGAAGCUAUGGAUUUAUACGACAAGUAUAAGUGGUAGGGGAGCGUUCCUGUCAGCGAGGAAGCAUGACCGCAAGGACAUGUGGAGCGGCAGGAAGAGAGAAUGCCGGUGUGAGUAGCGGAACGUGGGUGAGAAUCCCACGCACCGAAUACCCAAGGUUUCCAGAGGAAGGUUCGUCCGCUCUGGGUAAGUCGGGACCUAAGGCGAGGCCGAAAGGCGUAGUCGAUGGACAACGGGUGGAGAUUCCCGUACCUGAUGAAGAGGCAAUGGAGUGACGGAGCAGGCUAGGCGAUCCAGCUGCUGGAAUAGCUGGUGCAAGCGAGGUAGGGGACAUCCAGGCAAAUCCGGAUGUUGAAACCCGAAGGCGUGACGCGUAUGGAACAUUACGAUAAGUACAGAAGUCGCCGAAGCAAGCUUCCAAGAAAAGCUUCUAGCAAUCAACUCUUUGUCAGCCCGUACCGAAAAUGGACACACAUGGGUGAGGAGAGAAUCCUAAGGUGAGCGAGAGAACUAUAGCUAAGGAACUCUGCAAAAUGACUCCGUAACUUCGGGAGAAGGAGUGCUCAUUGAGAGAUGAGCCGCAGUAAAACGGCCCAAGCGACUGUUUACCAAAAACACAGCUCUCUGCCAAGACGCAAGUCGAAGUAUAGGGGGUGACGCCUGCCCGGUGCUGGAAGGUUAAGAGGAGUGGUCAGCGCAAGCGAAGCCAUGAAUUGAAGCCCCAGUAAACGGCGGCCGUAACUAUAACGGUCCUAAGGUAGCGAAAUUCCUUGUCAGGUAAGUUCUGACCCGCACGAAAGGCGUAACGAUUUGGGCGCUGUCUCAGCUGUAGACUCGGUGAAGUCUUAGUACCUGUGAAGAUGCAGGUUACCCGCGACUAGACGGAAAGACCCCAUGGAGCUUUACUGUAGCUUGAUAUUGGAUUUUGAUGCAUGAUGUACAGGAUAGGUAGGAGACGAAGAGACGGAUACGCCAGUAUUCGAGGAGUCGCCGUUGGGAUACUACCCUUCAUGUAUUGAAGUUCUAACCGGACGCCAUAAGCUGGCGACGGGACAGUGUCAGGUGGGCAGUUUGACUGGGGCGGUCGCCUCCCAAAGAGUAACGGAGGCGCCCAAAGAUACCCUCAGCAUGGUUGGAAAUCAUGCGUAGAGUGCAAAGGCAAAGGUGUUUGACUGCGAGACCAACAAGUCGAGCAGGGACGAAGUCGGGCUUAGUGAUCCGGCGGUGCCGAAUGGAAGGGCCGUCGCUCAACGGAUAAAAGCUACCCUGGGGAUAACAGGCUGAUCUCCCCCAAGAGUUCACAUCGACGGGAGGUUUGGCACCUCGAUGUCGGCUCAUCGCAUCCUGGAGCUGAAGUCGGUUCCAAGGGUUGGGCUGUUCGCCCAUUAAAGCGGUACGCGAGCUGGGUUCAGAACGUCGUGAGACAGUUCGGUCCCUAUCUGUCGUGGGCGUAGGAAGUUUGAGGAGAGCUGCCCUCAGUACGAGAGGACCGGGGUGGACAGACCAAUGGUGCACCAGUUGUCACGCCAGUGGCACAGCUGGUAGCUAAGUCUGGAAGGGAUAAACGCUGAAGGCAUCUAAGUGUGAAGCCCCCUCCAAGAUGAGACUUCCCAUUCU
rnacentral:rRNA from 1 species